UCUAUAUUUUCAAUAAAAUAAUUAUCUACUCUAUUUUAAGAUUUCAUAUGCUCGGCAAUACCCGUCACCACACUUUUCGAUCAAGACAGUUCUAAAAAUAAAUCGAAACAAACACACUCGCAUCGAUAACAGUAACAAGAUUAUGAUUGGGUCCACGUCCACGUCCCUGUCCAUCAAUUGGAUUAGCCGCGAAAUGAACCACCACACAUGUCCCGUCGAAGGAGUCUCAUUAGGGAAAAAGCCAACAUGACACCAAGCGUUUAAUUCAAUUUAUUUGCGUAUUAUGAGCGGAACUCAUGUGUGAGCUUGUUGUACCCUUUAAUUGCAUUUCCCGGCCCGCUGGCCCCCUCGCUGGUCACCUCUUCUUGGCAUGGUGCUUGUAUUACAAAAUAAAAUUAUGUAUUUUGAA